AGUGCGAGAUUCGCAUAAAUGCGUUAGCUUGCUACUUCCGGGUUCGCUAGCAGCCAUGGCGGCAUCUUAUUAAGCUUAAUUAUUUGGACCGCAUUGCCAGAUUUUGGGAGAUUCAGGCUUCCUCCUUGAAAAUCCCUCACAUUGAAAGACGAAUUCUUGAUCUUUUCAGUUUGUCAAAGGUUGUGUCAGAUGAAGGCGGCCGGUGCUGCCUCCGCUCCUGCGUCUGCUGCUGCCUCUGCCAAGGUGCCCCACUCCACGGCCUGGUAAGGAAAAAGAAGGAGCUGGAGCUCGCAAGAGCCCAGAGCCUGGGAGUACGGCCACAGUCGCUACAGGAAUGAACAUUCUUGCUCCAAUUCUGAGGGGCGCUCGGUGGAUGACUGGCUGGCAGAGAAAAGGAGCCAAGAAGGUCAAAGAAAGACGGAAGAAAUGAAAAAAGGAAGCCACCUGAGACCUCUAAAACCCAGGUCGCUCACUCUCUAGUCACAAUGGUCAUUCACAAUGGUCUGAUUGAAGUCAUUCAGGAAGGAUCUCAUAAUAAAUCAGGUUAUUUGACAACUUAUUUCAUUAGGAUUUGACGACAAGGAUCCUGCUGCUUUUAAGUUGAAUUUGUGCAAAAUGGAUAGGCUACUGAGAGGGAGUCCUUGGCGCUCGUAUUUGUUUGUUGUUGCCAUAGUUACAGCUAGUGUCAAACCUGUUACUUGCUAUAGUUGAACUGGAUUACCAUGUUCCUCCUUAGGGAAGCGCAGCCCAGCAGGUGGCUAAGAUGGGACCUGGGUUUUCGGGCCUUUCCAGAGAGAAGAGGAGUCUUCCUCGGGUGAGCUUCGAUCCCAUGGUCUACGUCAACGCCGUAGGGUUGUCUCAGGGCGUACCAGGCAAGCUUCAAGCUUGUAACCAGGUGGGGAAAGGCUUUGAAUUGGGUUGUUAUGCUGCUAUAAAAUGUAGAUUGGGUGGAUUACAAUUGGAACAAUCAGCAAAGGUUGUGAAAAAUACUGAGACGGUGCCAACCUGAGGGCCGCCUUCGAGGAAGGAGCAGUUCCACAGCAUCCAGGUGACAGGCGGGAAAGAGAUCAGCUCGUCUCCGUGGGAAAAGCCCCUCAUCACGAGUCCCUCCAGAUGACAUCGUACUGGUCAAAGAAAAGCACUGAAGAUGGCCAACACCGUUCUUACAGAGGCACAAUAAUCCUCUGGGCGGUGAUAAUUCACGCACAUCCUUUCCUCAUCCGCAUUUAUUCCUUUUAAAGUUGAUAAUGCUGUUUAAAUGUGUGUUUCAGAAAGCUGAAUCCUACUGUGUUCAGUGUUUACAUUUCAAUAAACAUUUUUUCAA